rnacentral:lncRNA from 1 species
UUUAGUAUAAAAUCUAAGCUAAUAUCUUAUUUUAAUUUAUUUAUAAUUAUAUAAAUUAUAUAAAUAUGGUAAUUAUGUUCGUAAAAUAAGUGAUAUAUUUAAAUUUUAAAAAUAAAAAGCUAUUAACUGUCUCAAAUCAUAUAAAGUAAAGAUAAAAAUGUAUAAAACUUAUUUGAACUAUAAAUUAUUUUGAGUUGGCCACCCAACAUUUCAAAAUUUUGAUUUUACUAUUCUUUUAAUUUGUUUGAUUUGAGUCAGUCAACAGCAUUGUAACUGUAAAAUUUAAUGCAUUAUUUAUCUUUACAAGUUUAGUUAUCUAUUCCAUACAAUUCUUGCAACUAUAAAUUUAUUAAAAUAAUUAGCUAAAAUUUUGAAUUAAAAUAUCAUUAACUGAAUCGAAUCACAUAAAUUGAAAGGUUAGAUCGUAAACUCAAAUUUUGGAAUUAAGGUU